AUAAAUUAUUGAUAGAAUAUUAGCCCUAAUUUUUUAUGGAGAAACGAAGAGAGCCCUAGUUUAUGAUCAAUUCCACGGGCGAGAGAACCUGACGCCGGUGGCGAGCAAGCCCUGGCUUAAGAAGCUUCGCCGCUAGCUGCCUCAAUCCCGCACGCGAGAGGAUCUGAUGCCAUCCACUUUGCAUUGCUUGCCAACAUCGGAACUCCACCACCUUAUCACCCGCCCCCCAACUCCGACUGAAUUCAGCUGGAGAACUCCUUCCUGAUAACCUUUUGGAGUAUGGCAUCCGUGGCUGAAUCAAUAGAUGCAGUUGCUUCAUCCAGAACUAAAAUUUUGUUUUUACGAAGGACAACUCUGCCGAGACAGAAGAGCUGGCGCUGCCCAAUGCUCCAAUUUUCACCAUCAUCGCUCACUUUAAAAACCAAGAUACUGAGGAACCCAAGUCAAAGCUCUCUCCUGAACACAUCGAAGGGAACCAUCCUGCAACUCAAAUUCAAGUGAAGAUUCACAUUAAAUGCCAGAGUAAAUACAACAAGCUCAAAAAGGUGAUGGUGAUCAAAAACAGAAUAAAUUAAAUGAAGAAUAUCAAACUUUUAUUGAAACUAUUAUCAUGAACUUAUACCAGGGUAAGAAAAAGUGAAAACUGUAGAAGAGAAGGAGAAGAAACUGCCACCCUGAAAGCUCCAAAGAGCAGCCAUUUUUUUUUUUCCUCUGGUGAUGCCUUCCCUAUUUUGCUUGCCAAGUCUAAGUUGGUCUCUUGCAGUUCCUUGCUCAAAGGCUCUUCAAAAAAGCUAGAGAAACAGCAAUGGUUACAAAUGAGUAAGCCAAAGAUAACUCCUUGCGAUUUAUAUUGUUCCUUUUCAGUCUUCCAUUCCUUAAUUUUGUCUCUUCAAGUUCACCUAAUACUAUGCUUCAAAGACGAGUACAUUAUGUGAUUAUGAUAAUUUAAUUCAGAUAGAUGCCAAAGGAAUUCUAUGA